UACGAAGGGGGCGAGCGUUGUUCGGAUUUACUGGGCGUAAAGGGCGCGCAGGCGGCUCAUUUUGUCAGGCGUGAAAGCCCCGGGCUUAACCUGGGAACUGCGCUUGAGACGGGUGGGCUAGAGAUCGGGAGAGGAGAGUGGAAUUCCCAGUGUAGAGGUGAAAUUCGUAGAUAUUGGGAAGAACACCGGUGGCGAAGGCGGCGACCUGGUCCUUGACUGACGCUGAGGCGCGAAAGCGUGGGGAGCAAACAGG
rnacentral:rRNA from 1 species